GCAGUCGACGGCAGCAUGAUCUAGCUUGCUAGAUUGAUGGCGAGUGGCGAACGGGUGAGUAAUACAUCGGAACGUGCCCUGUAGUGGGGGAUAACUAGUCGAAAGAUUAGCUAAUACCGCAUACGACCUGAGGGUGAAAGUGGGGGACCGCAAGGCCUCAUGCUAUAGGAGCGGCCGAUGUCUGAUUAGCUAGUUGGUGAGGUAAAGGCUCACCAAGGCGACGAUCAGUAGCUGGUCUGAGAGGACGAUCAGCCACACUGGGACUGAGACACGGCCCAGACUCCUACGGGAGGCAGCAGUGGGGAAUUUUGGACAAUGGGGGCAACCCUGAUCCAGCAAUGCCGCGUGUGUGAAGAAGGCCUUCGGGUUGUAAAGCACUUUUGUCCGGAAAGAAAUCGCACUUACUAAUAUUAGGUGUGGAUGACGGUACCGGAAGAAUAAGGACCGGCUAACUACGUGCCAGCAGCCGCGGUAAUACGUAGGGUCCAAGCGUUAAUCGGAAUUACUGGGCGUAAAGCGUGCGCAGGCGGUUGUGCAAGACCGAUGUGAAAUCCCCGGGCUUAACCUGGGAAUUGCAUUGGUGACUGCACGGCUAGAGUGUGUCAGAGGGGGGUAGAAUUCCACGUGUAGCAGUGAAAUGCGUAGAGAUGUGGAGGAAUACCGAUGGCGAAGGCAGCCCCCUGGGAUAACACUGACGCUCAUGCACGAAAGCGUGGGGAGCAAACAGGAUUAGAUACCCUGGUAGUCCACGCCCUANACGAUGUCAACUAGUUGUUGGGGAUUCAUUUCCUUAGUAACGUAGCUAACGCGUGAAGUUGACCGCCUGGGGAGUACGGUCGCAAGAUUAAAACUCAAAGGAAUUGACGGGGACCCGCACAAGCGGUGGAUGAAGUGGAUUAAUUCGAUGCAACGCGAAAAACCUUACCUACCCUUGACAUGCCACUAACGAAGCAGAGAUGCAUUAGGUGCUCGAAAGAGAAAGUGGACACAGGUGCUGCAUGGCUGUCGUCAGCUCGUGUCGUGAGAUGUUGGGUUAAGUCCCGCAACGAGCGCAACCCUUGUCUCUAGUUGCUACGAAAGGGCACUCUAGAGAGACUGCCGGUGACAAACCGGAGGAAGGUGGGGAUGACGUCAAGUCCUCAUGGCCCUUAUGGGUAGGGCUUCACACGUCAUACAAUGGUGCAUACAGAGGGUUGCCAAGCCGCGAGGUGGAGCUAAUCCCAGAAAAUGCAUCGUAGUCCGGAUCGUAGUCUGCAACUCGACUACGGAAGCUGGAAUCGCUAGUAUCGCGGAUCA
rnacentral:rRNA from 1 species